GCAGUCGACGAUUCCUACGGGAGGCAGCAGCAGGGAAUAUUGCACAAUGGGCGAAAGCCUGAUGCAGCGACGCCGCGUGCGGGAUGAAGGCCUUCGGGUUGUAAACCGCUUUCAGCAGGGACGAAAAUGACGGUACCUGCAGAAGAAGCCCCGGCCAACUACGUGCCAGCAGCCGCGGUAAUACGUAGGGGGCGAGCGUUGUCCGGAUUUAUUGGGCGUAAAGGGCUCGUAGGCGGUUUGACAAGUCGGUCGUGAAAACCCGGGGCUCAACCCCGGGACGCCGGUCGAAACUGUCAUGACUAGGGUCCGGUAGAGGUGAGUGGAAUUCUCGGUGUAGCGGUGAAAUGCGCAGAUAUCGAGAGGAACCCCAGUUGCGAAGGCGGCUCACUGGGCCGGUACCGACGCUGAGGAGCGAAAGCGUGGGGAGCAAACAGGAUUAGAUACCCUGGUAGUCCACGCCGUAAACGUUGAACACUAGGUGUGGCGGACUUAUCCACGUCCGCCGUGCCGAAGCUAACGCAUUAAGUGUUCCGCCUGGGGAGUACGGCCGCAAGGCUAAAACUCAAAGGAAUUGACGG
rnacentral:rRNA from 1 species